rnacentral:rRNA from 1 species
UACGUGAGGGGGAAGUGAAUAUUAUUGGGUUAACAGUUAAAUUUAUUAUUCCUUUAAUUCUAAAAUUUUUGGGUGAAAUUUUAAUUUUAUUUUAAUAGGUUUAUAUGAAGCUGUGAAAUUUAUUUUAAAAACAA